rfam:Solanum tuberosum cultivar DM 1-3 516 R44 scf00120_35, whole genome shotgun sequence.
AUCCCAUUGUGGGGCCAUUUUCUCAACAAUCUUUGAACUUCUCCCAUGCUUCAAGCAGAGUUUCUAAUUCGAGUUGUCCGAAAUUGCUGAUUUCUUUUCUCAUUCU